rnacentral:rRNA from 1 species
CAUGAAGACGGAAUUGCUAGUAAUCGCGAAUCAGCAUGUCGCGGUGAAUACGUUCCCGGGCCUUGUACACACCGCCCGUCAAACCAUGAGAGUUGGGAAUACCCGAAGUCUGUAAUCUAACCGCAAGGAGGAUGCAGCCGAAGGUAGGCUCAAUGAUUGGGGUUAAGUCGUAACAAGGUAUC